GAUGAAGAACGUAGUGAAACGCGAUAAGUAAUGUGAAUUGCAGAAUUCAGUGAAUCAUCGAAUCUUUGAACGCACAUUGCGCCCGCCAGUAUUCUGGCGGGCAUGCCUGUUCGAGCGUCAUUUCAACCAUCAAGCCCCCGGGCUUGUGUUGGGGACCUGCGGCUGCCGCAGGCCCUGAAAAGCAGUGGCGGGCUCGCUGUCACACCGAGCGUAGUAGAUUUUAUCUCGCUCUGGGCGUGCUGCGGGUUCCGGCCGUUAAACCACCCUUUUAACCCAAGGUUGACCUCGGAUCAGGUAGGAAGACCCGCUGAACUUAAGCAUAUCAAUAAGCGGAGGA
rnacentral:misc_RNA from 1 species